AUUUAAGCUUCAUAUAUAAAGUAUUNNACUUUUAUUAGNAACAUAUAUAUGUCUACAUGAGCUAAUUU
rnacentral:tRNA from 1 species